GCGUUUAUAGUUUAACGGCUAGAAUGUCAGAUUGUGGUUCUGAAGAUCAGGGUUCGAUUCCCUGUAAUCGCCCU
rnacentral:tRNA from 1 species